rnacentral:misc_RNA from 1 species
CGAGGAGGAAGUUACGGCGGCGGACAGAGUUCACUUGGCUACUUGUUUGGUUCAGAUCAGCAGCCGAGCCAAACUCCAGUCUCCCCUCCAGUGAUCAAGGCACCAUGGGAUGAUGACAACAGCACCAAGACACCCCCAAACAAUUCUUCAAAGAAACUAAACGUCUCAAACAAUUAUCACAGAGCUCAGGGGCAGAAUUCAGGCAACUUCCUAACUGAUCGUCCAACAACAAAAGUUCAGUCAGCUCCUGGGGGAGAAUCAUCUCUUGGCUACUUGUUUGGAGACAAGUAAUUGAUGCUUUGCUUCGUUCUUCCAACUCUCACAAUGUAGUAUAUGAUGAAGGUUUGCAAUGUAUCCAUAAAUAAGGGUUUCUGUUCCCAUCAAGCAGAGUGUUUUAAUCGUAAAAUUAGUGUGAUGUGAAUAUAGACAAUAAAGUGUGGUAAUGCUUGUUUAACCAUAUAUAUAUAUAUAUUGGGUUGUACUUUAAGUACCGGAAGAAAGUUGG